UCCGGCUUGUCACCGGCAGUCUCGUCAGAGUGCCCAGCUUAACCUGAUGGCAACAGACGAUGAGGGUUGCGCUCGUUGCGGGACUUAACCCAACAUCUCACGACACGAGCUGACGACAGCCAUGCAGCACCUGUGUUCCAGCCAGCCGAACUGAAGAAGCCGAUCUCUCGGCCCCAUACUGGACAUGUCAAGGGUAGGUAAGGUUCUUCGCGUUGCUUCGAAUUGAACAACAUGCUCCACCGCUUGUGCGGGUCCCCGUCAAUUCCUUUGAGUUUUAACCUUGCGGCCGUACUCCCCAGGCGGUUUGCUUAAUGAUUUCUCUCCGCCGCCGAAGCCCUAAGGACUCCGACAGCUAGCAAACAUGGUUUACGGCGUGGACUAC
rnacentral:misc_RNA from 1 species